AAACUUUCAACAACGGAUCUCUUGGUUCUGGCAUCGAUGAAGAACGCAGCGAAAUGCGAUAAGUAAUGUGAAUUGCAGAAUUCCGUGAAUCAUCGAAUCUUUGAACGCACAUUGCGCCCUUUGGUAUUCCGAAGGGCAUGCCUGUUCGAGCGUCAUUG
rnacentral:rRNA from 1 species